rnacentral:misc_RNA from 1 species
UCUAGGUACUCUUGAGAUAUCAUAAUUGGUUUCCAAUGGGGUAAGAGGUACUGUUGAGAAUUCGGUAUCGGAUUGCUCAGGUGGCAGGAUAACUUGCCGUGAAUUUGGUGCCAAAGGAGGCAGGUUGUGCUUAGGAGAAUAUUGUGGUCUCGGGGAAACAAACGAACCACCAGCAUUAUUUGACCUAUGUUCUGCUGGGGUUGCAUCUGCACCCUUGAUUUGAUCUCCUGUAUUUCCAUUGCCAGCUUCGACAGCCUCACUUUUCUCUCUUUCGUUCUCCUUGAGAAGAAAAUCAACCCAGAGAUCUGCAAAGGACUGAUCUGAUGCCGUAGUAGAAGGUACUGAACUUCCACCCAUGAUGCCACCAACUAGUCGGCCAGGGAGACCAAAGACACCCCGGACAACACCUUUACCAGAUCCUUGCUGAGCCAUGCCUAUCCUCUGCUUGUCUUCAUCAGAGAAUCCUAGCAUACGAACCAUAAGAUCCAAAACCUCUUUGCUGUGAUUCCUUUGGAAGUAGGUCACCAGUAACUUGAUUACAAUCCGCCUGUCGACAUAAUUAUCAGAAUCCAGUGACAUCCUAUUCAGCCUAGUCAUGCUCUGUUCAACAGCUCGCCGUAGCUUUUCAUUGUCUUGUUCAAGCUUACUUAUACGGCCCUUCCCUUCAGAAAGUCUUCUUUCCAUGUCCGAAAGUUUCACUAACACCUCUUCCUUCUCUUUCUUUAAUGUUUCUGACUCAUUGUAAGCAUCCUUCAGAAGCCCUGACAUUUUAUGUAAUUCCUCCUUUGCCAUCACCAAUUCUUCUCCAAGCCGUUCCUUGGCUUCAAUCUCAGCGUAGUAUUGGCCAAGAGCAGUUUGUAGGUUAAGAACUUCAAUGUUUUGGGCUUCCAUUGUGUUCAAACAGCUGGCUAAUCUUUUAUUUAGCUCAUCGAUCGUUUCCUUUGACUUCCUUAAUUCAUUAUAAUUAAGGGUUUUGACAUCUUCUUGACCUGCAACUGCUUGCUUGAGAGCUUUCUCCAACUGUAAUAUUUGAGCUCGUUGAUAUUCGUUAUUUUGACGUAGUUCUUCAAUAAUCUUGCUGUCCUCAUCCAUCUUUUCUGAUUCUUCCAUUUCCUUCUCAAGUAAAUGCUGCUUAAGACGUUUCAAUUCUUUCUGUGCUUUAUCCCUUCCCCGGCGUGUUUCCUUCAAUUCAUUCUCCAAAUUUUGCAAAGACCUCUUCAUUUCUUCCUUCUCAGGAAAUACCUCCACAGGAUGCACCU